rnacentral:lncRNA from 12 species
UAGUGCUUUGGAUGGGGUGCUCGGCCAGGUGUAUGGUCAUGGUGCUCGGCCAGGUGUGUGGUCAUGGUGCUUGGCCAGGUGUGGACAUGGUGCUUGACCACAGCGUGUGGACACGGUGCAUGGACAUGGUGCUCGGGCGUGGUGCUCAGCCAUGCACCGUGGACGUGGUGCUCAGCUCAGCCGUGGUGCUUGAACAUGAUGUGUGGGCAGUGCUUGGCCAGGGCGUGUGGACAGUGCUUGACCAUAGAGCUUGGACACGGUGCAUGGACAUGGUGCUCGGGCAUGGUGCUCAGCCAUGCACCGUGGACACGGUGCUCGGACGUGUGGUGUGUGGACAGGGUGAGUGGACAUGGUGA